UACGAAGGGAGCUAGCGUUGUUCGGAAUCACUGGGCGUAAAGCGCACGUAGGCGGAUUUGUCAGUCAGGGGUGAAAUCCCGGGGCUCAACCUCGGAACUGCCUUUGAUACAGCAAGUCUUGAGUUCGAGAGAGGUGGGUGGAAUUCCUAGUGUAGAGGUGAAAAUUCGUAGAUAUUAGGAAGAACACCGGUGGCGAAGGCGGCCCACUGGCUCGAUACUGACGCUGAGGUGCGAAAGCGUGGGGAGCAA
rnacentral:rRNA from 1 species